GGACAAUAUAGGCAAGGACUGAGACAUGGCUAUGGUGUUUACAAGUUCUAUACAGGAGAUACUUAUGCUGGUCAAUGGUGUAAUGGACAAAGCCAUGGUGUUGGAUCACAAUCUUGCUCUGAUGGUAGCUGUUACAUUGGUGAAUUCAAAUGCGCAGUCAAACAUGGCCUCGGAUGUUACCAUUUCAGAAACGGGGAUCGUUAUGCAGGUGAAUAUUUCGGAGACAAGAUUCAUGGUUUUGGU
rnacentral:misc_RNA from 1 species